CUUUACUGCAACUUUGCAGUGGCAUCAGAAGAGUGCUGUGUAGGAUAGGCGGGAGGCAUUGAAGCAUGGGCGCUAGCUUGUGUGGAGCCAACCUUGAAAUACCGCCCUGCGCGCUUUUGAUGUCUAACCGCGGCCGGUUAUCCCGGUCCGGGACCCUGCAUGGUGGGCAGUUUGACUGGGGCGGUCGCCUCCUAAAGAGUAACGGAGGCGCGCGAUGGUGGGCUCAAGCCGGUCGGACAUCGGCUGCUGAGUGCAAUGGCAUAAGCCCGCCUGACUGCGAGAACGACAGUUCGAGCAGAGACGAAAGUCGGCCAUAGUGAUCCGGUGGUUCCACGUGGAAGGGCCAUCGCUCAACGGAUAAAAGGUA
rnacentral:rRNA from 1 species